GCUUUCUUCCUUACUUCUUCUUCUUCUUCUUCAAUCCAUCACUUUUACCUCUAUAAUCUCUCUUCAUUAUCUUCUCACUGUUUGUUUCUCUUUCUCUCUCUCACACACAAACUUUGUCUCUCUCCUUUUGAAGAGAGAGAGAAUAUAAUACUCAGGGUAGGAAAGUGUCUUGUAUGGUUAAAAGUUGUCUUGUUCUCAUUACCAUAUGUUUCUGCAGUGAACUAUACCCUACUAAUUAAUUACUACUUGUCACUCUUGUCUUGCUUUCUCUUCUUAAUUACUUACCUCAAAUAUUAUUAUUAA